GCUCGAUGAGUAGGGCGGGACACGUGGUAUCCUGUCUGAAUAUGGGGGGACCAUCCUCCAAGGCUAAAUACUCCUGACUGACCGAUAGUGAACCAGUACCGUGAGGGAAAGGCGAAAAGAACCCCGGCGAGGGGAGUGAAAAAGAACCUGAAACCGUGUACGUACAAGCAGUGGGAGCACAGAGCAAUCUGUGUGACUGCGUACCUUUUGUAUAAUGGGUCAGCGACUUAUAUUCUGUAGCAAGGUUAACCGAAUAGGGGAGCCGAAGGGAAACCGAGUCUUAACUGGGCGUUAAGUUGCAGGGUAUAGACCCGAAACCCGGUGAUCUAGCCAUGGGCAGGUUGAAGGUUGGGUAACACUAACUGGAGGACCGAACCGACUAAUGUUGAAAAAUUAGCGGAUGACUUGUGGCUGGGGGUGAAAGGCCAAUCAAACCGGGAGAUAGCUGGUUCUCCCCGAAAGCUAUUUAGGUAGCGCCUCGUGAAUUCAUCUCCGGGGGUAGAGCACUGUUUCGGCAAGGGGGUCAUCCCGACUUACCAACCCGAUGCAAACUGCGAAUACCGGAGAAUGUUAUCACGGGAGACACACGGCGGGUGCUAACGUCCGUCGUGAAGAGGGAAACAACCCAGACCGCCAGCUAAGGUCCCAAAGUCAUGGUUAAGUGGGAAACGAUGUGGGAAGGCCCAGACAGCCAGGAUGUUGGCUUAGAAGCAGCCAUCAUUUAAAGAAAGCGUAAUAGCUCACUGGUCGAGUCGGCCUGCGCGGAAGAUGUAACGGGGCUAAACCAUGCACCGAAGCUGCGGCAGCGACACUGUGUGUUGUUGGGUAGGGGAGCGU
rnacentral:rRNA from 1 species